AUAGCGUAUAUUAAAGUUGUUGCAGUUAAAAAGCUCGUAGUUGAACCUUGAGCCUGGCUGGCCGGUCCGCCUCACCGCGUGCACUGGUCCGGCCGGGUUUUUCCUUCUGGGGAGCCGCAUGCCCUUCACUGGGUGUGUCGGGGAACCAGGACUUUUACUUUGAAAAAAUUAGAGUGUUCAAAGCAGGCCUUGGCUCGAAUACAUUAGCAUGGAAUAAUAGAAUAGGACGUGUGGUUCUAUUUUGUUGGUUUCUAGGACCGCCGUAAUGAUUAAUAGGGAUAGUCGGGGGCAUCAGUAUUCAAUUGUCAGAGGUGAAAUUCUUGGAUUUAUUGAAGACUAACUACUG
rnacentral:rRNA from 1 species